rnacentral:rRNA from 1 species
AGGGAAUCUUCCACAAUGGACGAAAGUCUGAUGGAGCAACGCCGCGUGAGUGAAGAAGGAUUUCGGUUCGUAAAACUCUGUUGCAAGGGAAGAACAAGUAGCGUAGUAACUGGCGCUACCUUGACGGUACCUUGUUAGAAAGCCACGGCUAACUACGUGCCAGCAGCCGCGGUAAUACGUAGGUGGCAAGCGUUGUCCGGAAUUAUUGGGCGUAAAGCGCGCGCAGGUGGUUCCUUAAGUCUGAUGUGAAAGCCCCCGGCUCAACCGGGGAGGGUCAUUGGAAACUGGGGAACUUGAGUGCAGAAGAGGAUAGUGGAAUUCCAAGUGUAGCGGUGAAAUGCGUAGAGAUUUGGAGGAACACCAGUGGCGAAGGCGACUGUCUGGUCUGUAACUGACACUGAGGCGCGAAAGCGUGGGGAGCAAAC